CUGAAGCCUUAUGUUCUUGACUGGGACAGAGGCCUGUGUAGUCACUGGGAAGAAGUAGGCACUCUGAGGCAUGGCUCACCCURUCCUAGGAGAGAUGCUCCAGCUGUAUUUCAUGCCAGGCAGGGUGAAAAGCUCCCUGUGUGAUGGGCACAUUCAAGGAAGAAGUCUAGAGCUGCCUCUGUUAUCACCACAAACACCAUGGCAGCAGGCAAAGAUGGGUGGUAGCCGUGACAACGCGGUAAGCAAUUCCUGCUGCGCAGCGCGACCAGCAUGCCAAGUCAUCCCACCAGGUAGAUGCUGGUGUGGUGACUCACAGGGGUGUCGCAGGUGGUGCAGCCCAAGUCGUGUGUGGGAAGCACCCAUGGCGUUUGGCAAAGCCUCGCUGAAUGAUGGGACGAAUGCUCUGCUGCUGAUAAUAUUUACAGCCACCUCCAGGGAACAUGUCCAGAACAGGCUUGUUGCUUCCCUGCCUCCUUCCACYGGUCCUAUUGCAGAUGUGGGCUGUCCUGAGCUGGAGCACCUCCUUCCUGCAAAAGCCAGUCGUGCAAUGGGUUGCCUUCAGCUUUUAAUGAAGCCAUGUGUGCCCCAUUGCAUUGCAUCACGUUGCAUGCCAUGCCAUGCCAUCUCCCCCCUAGCUGGUGGCUUCCAGAGCACCCAAAGGCUGCGGGCAUGGGGCUGCUCUCCAUUGCAUUGGGCUCUGGUGGGACGUCUCCAAGACCUGCCCCCCCCCCCUUGCCCCCCAGAACCAGCCCCAACGCCUCUCCCAUCCCGGGGCCCCUGUUGCUCUUGUUUCCACUCCAGACUUUGUGCAUCUGUUUUCCAGGGUGCCUCAGCUUGUGCUUUGGGGCCAGGUGAGAUGCGGUGAGGCGAGAUGGGUGGCUCUGAGACAGAUCCUUACCCAGCCCUUGCUGCAGCCGGCUCCUUCACAGGCUCUUGGAUGGGCUGGCUCCACUCAGGAGGCCUUUUCUGCCCCCAGCUCUGUGCUGGGCCAGUUUCCUACAGCCCCCUGCAGUGGGCUGGGCUGUCAUCCCCMAAAUUAGGUGCCAGUAACCUGGAGGCCACCUUCCCUCUGCCGAGGUGGUUUCUCAGCACCUGCCUCCAACACUGGCACUAAAGAGUGCGGUCAGCUUCUUCUUCCCAGUGCUAUUUGGCCUGAAAAUGCCACAGUAGCUACAGCAUCCCACGAGCUCCYGAGGGCUGUUCCCGCACACCCGGGAGCUCAGACAUGCCUCGCUCCUCCCUGCGUGCUCCCUUUCCAAAGGCAGGGCUCCAAAGCAGCCUGGCACGCUCACCCCCUUCCCUUUGUGCAGCGCGGGGUGCUGGGGACGUGCGAAUCCUUGCUGGCACUCGCUUCUGGGCRAGGCGGCUGGCACCCGGGACCCCAAAUCCCUGCCAGGUGGGGUGAGUCAGCCGGUGCCGCCGGGACCCUGCCCCACGGGGAAGGGGAUCCCUCCCAAYGGCUUGGGCACGGUGCCACCGCUCCCCGCGCCGGCCCUGGGGCCAGGAGGGCCGAGGUGGGAAGGAGCAGCCUCCCCGCCGGCGCGGGAGCCGGGCUUGUCCCCGGUGCGUCGUCUUGGCGUGCCACCCCCCGGCUACGGCUGCUGUCAAAGUGAGCYGGAGAUUAAGAAGGAGCCUGUGUGCGGGAAAGCUCUCCCGGGAGAUCAGAGAGCCAGGCYGUGUCACAUCAGCCCCGG
ensembl:lncRNA